AUGGACUGCCAAGAGUCUCCGGAGAAACCAGGUAUUGGCAGCUGCGUGGAAAAAGGGGAACCAGCCAAGGAGAAAUGUUCAUUUGUCAACGCUACGGCCAUGUGUGAAGCACCAAGAUCAGCCACCACAGAAGCUCCAUCCCGACCCACGAAAGAGCCUCCAGAGCCAUCCAGUCAGAAGCCAGAAAUUGUCACAUUUGGUAAGUCAUGGGAGCCUCACCCAGAUGAAAUAUUUAAUAUUAAUAAUAAUAAUAAUAAUAAUAAUAAUAAUAAUAAUAAUAAUAAUAACGACCUGUCAACUGCAAGAGGCCACCCUGCUGGGAUUUGUGCGCAUCAUCCGAAAAUACAUCACACAAUCCUAGACACUUGGGAAGUGUUCGACUUGUGAUUUUGUGAUAUGAAAUCCAGCAUAUAUAUCUCGUUUGCUAUGUCAUACUAUGUCUUUGGGCCAAUAAUAAUAAUAACAACAAUAAUAAUAAUCCUGGGUAAUUAAUGUGAACUUGGCUUAGACUUUUAAAUGGACAUAAUGAUGAUAAUAAUACUAUUAAUAAAAGUUAUUAUUAUUAUUAUUAUUAUUAUUAUUAUUAUUAUUAUUGUUGUUGUUGAUGUGAUUAGUGCAAAGCUGGCACAGGUCUCCAGACAGACAUGUAUUAUUAUUAUUAUUAUUAUUAUUAUUAUUAUUAUUAUUAUAUUAUGUCAGAGCAAACAAGAUAGAUAUGCUGGAUUUCGUAUCACAAAAUCACAAGUCGAACACUUCCCAAGUGUCUAGGACUGUGUGAUGUAUUAUUAUUAUUAUUAUUAUUAUUAUUAUUAUUAUUAUUAUUAUAUGACACGGCAAACAAGAUAGAUAUGCUGGAUUUCGUUUCACAAAAUCACAAGUCGAACACUUCCCAAGUGUCUAGGACUGUGUGAUGUAUUAUUAUUAUUAUUAUUAUUAUUAUUAUUAUUAUUAUUAUUAUUAUGACACAGCAAACAAGAUAGAUAUGCUGGAUUUCGUAUCACAAAAUCACAAGUCGAACACUUCCCAAGUGUCUAGGACUGUGUGAUGUAUUUUUGGAUGAUGAGCGCAGAUCCCAAUAGGGUGGCCUUUUGCAGUUGGCAGAUCGUAAUUUUGUCAAUGUCUAUUGUUUAAUAUAUUAUAUAUUAUUAUAAUAUAUUAUAAUAUAUAUUAUAAUAAUAUAUAUUAUAUAUUAUUAUAUGACACAGCAAACAAGCUAGACAUUAUUAUUAUUAUUAUUAUUAUUAUUAUUAUUUUAUUGUAUGACACAGCAAACAAGAUAGAUAUGCUGGAUUUCGUAUCACAAAAUCACAAGUCGAACACUUCCCAAGUGUCUAGGACUGUGUGAUGUAUUUUCAGAUGAUGCGUGCAGAUCCCAGUCGGGUGGCCUUUUGCAGUUGGCAGAUCGUAAUUUUGUCAAUGUCUAUUGUUUCCAAAUGCCGGCUGAGAUCUUUUGGCACGGCACCCAGUGUGCCCAUCACCUUAUUAUUAUUAUUAUUAUUAUUGAUGUGAUUAGUGCAAAGCUGGCACAGGUCUCCAAACAGACAUGUAUUUUUAUUAUUAUUAUUAUUAUUAUUAUUAUUAUUAUUAUUAUUAUUAUUAUUAUUAUUAUUAUUAUUUAUAUACUACUCUAUCUCCUCGAGAGGACUCAAACCUUUUAAAAACAUUUGGACUUGUAGCAGCAAUUAAAAAAGACUGUUUGGCUUCUGAUGUUCCCGUCCCACACUCCACGAUGACUGCA
ensembl:lncRNA